GUUAACCAUAUAAAUAUGAUGUUGACACGUAAAUAAACAAAAAUUACAAUAAAUUUUCCUUAAUUAUUGACUAUAUAAAAUAAAAAAGAAUAAAAUUGCAGAUAUGGCAACUGUUAUAGACAAAAGAGAAAUCAGAAGACGUCGUAUUUUGGAAAAUUCUCAAGAUCGUUUAAAUAAAAUUUUAAAUAUUCAAAGUCAGAAAUUGAGAGACUCUUCUGAAAACACAGAAUUACUAAUAGAAAGUUCUUCUCAAAAUUUGAAGAGUGAUAAAGGCUUUGUGCUUGAUAGUUACAGUUCAAGUGAAAAAGAAACAAACGAAGAUUUUGUUAGUAACUACAAAGAGGCAACGACGGGAGCAUAUAUAUUUGAUAAAAAUGUCGAUCAAACUACAGAUUAUGAAGACACUUUGAUAAACCAUCACUCACAAGAAAAAACUAGAUUACAACACAAAUCUCAAUUUAUAAGUUUACAUCAUGGUUUCAUUGUAUUUCUCGCCUUUUUGAUACGUUAUUUGUGUUUAAUUAGUGAACAGUAUGGAUAUGUAAUCCAUAUAGACAUCUUUGAAACAUACUUAAACAAAAUUUUUGUGCCAAUCUUAAUUUAUGAAACUGUGACUAGUGUUUAUUUUAGGAAAGUAAAAACAGACAAUAGUUUCUUGAUAGUGAUACUGCUUUUAGGGAGCAGACAAAAUCCCAACUUGCAGAAGUUAACGACAUAUAUGUAUCAUUUUCAGUGUAUUUUUCAAGAUAUUAUGUUAUACUUUUUCUUUUUUGUAGUAUUUGAUUUAGGAAUUAAUUUUCUAACGCAGGGUGGAAACUAUAUUGUGUAGAGUAUAAUCAGUUUGUAAAUUUGUGCCUUAUUGUAGGCUUAUAAACAAAAGGUGCUUUAAAGAUUUUUGUCAAUAAAGAUUGGGACUUGA